UACGGAGGGUGCAAGCGUUAAUCGGAAUUACUGGGCGUAAAGCGUACGUAGGCGGCUCAUUAAGCAAGAUGUGAAAGCCCCGGGCUCAACCUGGGAAUGGCAUUUUGAACUGGUGAGCUAGAGUUUUGAAGAGGGUGGUAGAAUUUCCAGUGUAGCGGUGAAAUGCGUAGAUAUUGGAAGGAAUACCAGUGGCGAAGGCGGCCACCUGGUCAAAAACUGACGCUGAGGUACGAAAGCGUGGGGAGCAAACAGG
rnacentral:rRNA from 1 species